rnacentral:rRNA from 1 species
GGGCGAGAGUUUGAUCAUGGCUCAGAUUGAACGCUGGCGGCAUGCUUUACACAUGCAAGUCGAACGGGGUGAGGGGGCAACUCUUCAUCUAGUGGCGAACGGGUGAGUAAUGCAUCGGAACGUGUCCCGUAGUGGGGGAUAACCCGGCGAAAGCCGGACUAAUACCGCAUAUGCUCUACGGAGGAAAGUGGGGGCUCCGCAAGGACCUUACGCUAUGGGAGCGGCCGAUGUCCGAUUAGCUUGUUGGUGGGGUAAUGGCCUACCAAGGCUACGAUCGGUAGCUGGUCUGAGAGGAUGAUCAGCCACACUGGGACUGAGACACGGCCCAGACUCCUACGGGAGGCAGCAGUGGGGAAUUUUGGACAAUGGGGGCAACCCUGAUCCAGCCAUGCCGCGUGCGGGAAGAAGGCCUUCGGGUUGUAAACCGCUUUUAGUCGGGAAGAAAAGGCCACCUUGAAUACGGGUGGUUUUUGACGGUACCGGCGGAAUAAGCACCGGCUAACUACGUGCCAGCAGCCGCGGUAAUACGUAGGGUGCGAGCGUUAAUCGGAAUUACUGGGCGUAAAGCGUGCGCAGGCGGUUCGCUGUGACCGAUGUGAAAGCCCCGGGCUUAACCUGGGAAUGGCAUUGGAAACUGGCGAGCUUGAGUGUGGCAGAGGGGGAUGGAAUUCCGCGUGUA